CAUAUACAUAUAUAUAUAUGUAUAUAUAUGUAUAUAUAAUGUAAUUGAGGAUUUGUUAUGUCUAAUUAGUUCAUCUGUAUUUCAGUGUAGUUCCACUAUAAUAAAGCCUGAAACCCCCCUAGUGUCAUUCCCGUCUCAUUUCUAAUGGCGCCUCUGGCUUCUUGAAUCACUGUGGCCAUGUUCAAAAGGCAGCACUUUCUCUGUAGAAAUACAUUGUAUCGUAUCAUACACAACAUCACCCCAAUAGGCAUACUCCUCGGAGUUAUUUAUAUCAAAUGGGAACCUAAAAUGUCACUUCUUUCCGCUUUGAUUCUAUGAUGUUCAUUAUUAAUGUUAUUUUUUUUAAUGACAUUAAGGGCAACAGGUAUUAAUUUUUUCUUUUUAACAGUAAGCUCAGGCUAUAAGGCAGUGGUGGUGUGCAGGUUUGAAAAAUGAAUCCAUCUUAUGACUUUCUACUGCUAUAGUAACGGUGAUCAAGUUGCUGUAGUUGCUAAGAUAUUCUGCAAAAGUAGUCAUUUAUGAUUUGCUUGCCCCUGCAGCCUCACUGCGUGGUAUGCAUUUCAUUGGCUUGAUUGUGAAUUGGUGGUGCCAUGACAGCCCAUCUUGAUGUAACAUUGACUACAAACUGCUACAACAGGGUCACUUUCUCAAAGCAAAAAGUUCUGCUCUGCAGCUCGGAGGACAUCUGAAAGUGUUCUGUGAAAGUGAGAGCCGCUUUUGCUCCCAAAAGCUCCAGAGCGCAGCCUCUUUCCUUCCCGUAUCACACAUUUCCAUCCUUACACAUCCAAAAAAGACAGCAGUCAAUGUAGAAGAACAUUUCCUAAAAGCCUUCUACUAAAAAAGGAUCUGUAGGUGGGUGAGUGUGUGUCUUUGCAUGUGGGGAUAAAUAACCAGUUUAAAAGCUGAAGUCUACGAAGAACUUGAGUUUUCUAUAUUUGGGGCCGAGGUGGGGGACCAAAAGUAUGACAAAAAACAAAAAGAGGCAGUGGUACUUGGAGGAGUGGAGUCAAUGAGAAGUGAAAGUACAACACUUGGUGGUUCUUCCGUUGUCUUAGCACAUCAUAAUGCGACUGCCACGAGGGGCUUGUCAGAAUCUGUGUGUUAAUUUUAGCUUGACACAAAAUAUGUUGAAAUAAAGCCACUGGGUGAGGCUAGGAACCAACAUUCACUUGAUGCUGUCAAACUAUCAGCUCCUAAGGGAAGAAAAAUUACCUGCAAACAUAUGAAAAGCAGGCACGGGCCUUAGGUUAUCCCCAGUAUCAUUCCAGGGUAGGAAAUGAGAGAGACAAAGAGACAUGGAACGUAUUGGAAGAGAGCGCACUCCAUCCUAAUUAGUUGGAAUUUUACCUUGCUGCCUGUAACAAUUCUCUCUUUUCUCUGCAUGCAUAACAAAGCAGCCUGAAGGGAGGAUAUGAUUUAAAUAGUGUUGUCCUUAAGCAUAGUUGACAGAGAAACAUCUCGUCUUUCUCCUCCCAUUAUGUGAGGCACUCUCUCCCGUCAAUGCAAGCUAAAGCGGCCCAAUUAAGUAGGAUCUUUGUCACAUCUGCUUAAUGUCUGGGUUCAGCAAAAGUUGAUGAUUAUAAUGAAUUGAAGAGAAGGUGAGACAGUUUCACGUGGCGUUAAGGCGAUGGUUUUAAUGUAAACCGUACAGCGGAAGUACACAGAAAACUUGAUGUUCCACAUACAAGCCAGUAGAGGAGAAGGUGGAACAUGAGUCACCACUCCUACAUCAAAAGGUGAACAAGUAUGACUCGUUCUUGUGUAGGAAGUGACAGCCAGGCUCCAAGAGUAGAACAGUUGGAACAACUGCACAUCUCUAGAAUGUUAACACCAAGAAGAAUAAGCAUUCUGGAGAACUUUUUUUGCCUUGGUGAUAAAAUGCAUCUCUGUAUUACAAUUGUAAAUUACUUAAUAUAUGCAGGUAAAUGGGAGAUACAGAACUGGACUAAAAGCUGGAUGGGAUAUGUGCAGUAUCAUCAAAAUCGUCUAAUGUCAAUUCCUUCACAGGGUUGACAACCUUAGCAUACAAGGGGAUUUUAUUGUAGGAUUAGAGCUAAAUUUAGUUUUAGACCUAAAACCCUGGCCAUCCGAGUGGGUAUGUAAUAUAAUUUAAAAAAAGAAAAACACAAAGAGGAAAUAUUUCAAAUUUGGUGGUCAAAAGUCCAGGUUUAAGGUUACUUUGAGCUCAUUUGUUGGCCAUAAAUUAAGAAAUAAUGAGGUAAUUUUAGGGAUUACUUUCAUAAAUGAAUAAAUAGAAAACACAAUUCCUAUUUGAGUUAUUAUACUGUAAUGAAAACGUAGUAAUUCAAAUGUCCAUUUUUUUAUCCUAGUCCUUAAGAUGAAACAAUUGCCUAUCCACUGGUAUUUGAACUUUAAUCUAAGACCCUCUAGUUCAUUUUACAUUUUUCAGUUACUGUAACGCCACGGUUACUCAGCUAUAUAAUACACUAUACAGUAUAUAUUGGGAACAGUUGAAUCAAAAGUCACACCGUAUAUAAAAAAAACAGAAGCAUAGAUGGAUUGCCUCUCCUUUAUACCAUGUCGGCCAAGAUGAAAACUCUUUGUAGGGCUUUGCUAUGGAACAAUUUCAAUAUGAUGCAACGUGCUCCUAAUGACAACCAUUUGUUUCCAUUACCCCUUCCAGCUUCAGCUAGCAGACUUUGCAAACUUGUCACAACACCAUGUGCAUAAGAAGUGGAGAGAAAGACGUAGAAAUAGUGCCGGGGAUGUCUAUUUUCAUCAUGGUUACCUGCGCAAUUGGCCUCGUAUCAUCAACCUACUCUCUUGUUAAAAUUAGAUUUCCAUUCAAAUGUGGGAAUCAAAAUGUUCUUCGAUUCACAAGAAAUUUGCACAACAAAUGCCAAUUGACACGUGUUUAUAUCAAAUGCCAUUACGCAAAUAUUAGGAGCUGGGCAUAAGAUGAAAAGCUAUUGCCGCUGAUUCUAGUUAGCUACAAAACGCUGGCAUGCAUUUGAUCCUGAUCAGUGAACCCGGGUCUGAUGUUUAUGUCUUCCACUAUAUUUAACAGCUUUUUGGGGACAUUUGGAAAUCUCCUAAAGGUGUAUGCAUAUGUGGGUCACACAGAUUAUAUAAAAAUUAAACUACAAUUACAGACAAAUAUUCAGACUUCAGACAUUUCAAAACACAAAUACCCCAGAGCUGCUAGUGAGAAAUGUCUCAAAUGUAUCCUACAUUAUUUACUAAUAUUUAUGUUUGAUUAAGAUUCUUUGUGAUUUAGUUUUAUUUCAUCCGGAGAACUUGUUUGAUGUUGCCUCUGCUCAGCUGUGACCUGCUGCUGGUCCAUCUCCAUCCUCUACAUGAACAGGGAUACAGGCUGCAAGUAGCAUUGCCAUAGAGAAAGCAAUGGAAACAAGCUAUAAUGAGAGCAAGAGGAAAUUAAAAACAGAGGCAAGUGUUUGACUACACAGUAACAGGGUACAGUUGACCAAACUAUCUGGCUGCUGCGUCUCAGGUAACAGGAGUCCCUGUCAGGGGGUGCGUGGGAGGCAGGACUCAAAGGCAGAGUUUAACGAAAAAAAGACUUUUAAUAGUCAUCAACUCUAACACAAAAUGGCCGAGGGGCAAAAACGCAUACAGGUACCGGGGAAAAGGGCAGGCAGGAACGAGACACAUCCAGGGGGCUGAAGACGACGAUAGACAAUGACGCAACAAGUGACAGGAGACACACACAGCUUAAAUACACUAGGGAGGUGCCGGUGAUUGGACACAGGUGGAAACAAUCAGACAAUCACAGACGAUGACAGGACAAGGCAGGAAGUGAAGUUACCCAGGGAGACAAGAAGCAGAGAACUACAAAAUAAGACAGGAAAUAAAACCACACCGUGACAGUCCCAAGAGUGAUCAUUGUUGGACAGAUAACCUCGACACCCUCUGCUGAGGUAGGAUCAGGUAGGAUUAUCUUUCCCCAGACUGUAACUGUAAAGGGGCUUCUACAGGUUUAUCUCAGCAGAUUACAGACAGGGAAGUGAAGUCCCCAUUUGAACGGCUUGACUGUGUUUCCCGUGUUGAUUUAGCUGAGGCCGAGGCUCUGAUUAUAAAAGCUACGUGGUAGAGGAUUUUUUUCACAUACUCAGAAAUAACCUUACAUUUCUGAGGUAUUGGUGUGACAGUUAAUGGUGUGUUCGUAAUGAACGGAUAAAAAGGAUAGUGAAAUAGCAACACACUGAGGCUGAUUUUUGCAAAGCCUGAUCAUGACUUGUUAGGUCAUAUUCCAAGAAUAUAAACAAACAACAUUAAAAAAGGCUUGUUUUGCUGUUCGGCUACUCUAGAUUCGUAAAUGAGCCAUUAACAUUUACAAUGAGUUUAACUAGGCAUGACUAUGGCAGCAACAUUAUGUUUGUACCAUCAACAGCGAAUGGUUUAAACAUUAACACCAAUAAUAGUUUGGUGUGGAGACAAAGAAUUGCCCAUGUAAGCCACAUAAGCUGGUAAAAGUGUGUAAUAUGCGCUUUAUCCUUAACAACCUAACAAGAGGAUUUGAUAACUAUUUUAAAAGCUCUUAUUCCUAAAGGUACAUUUAUUUCAUACCACAUAUUUCAGAUUCUACCACUUCCUCCUUUCUUGUGACGUCACACCACCAGGAUGUCACAUUCUUUAGUAUAUAAAACUAUCCUUGCACACGUUUGGUCCCUGGCAACUUAUUGGUAUGACUGAGCUACUGUGGUUAAUUGUUUGAUGCUGCCGCCAUGUUCUCAGCUGCAGAAAUAUCUGCUGAGGGAAGUUAAAGGAAUUUAAAAGUUAAUUACAUGUUGGAUGAAUCUGUAAUGUUACGUGUUUUAAUAAUCCAAUCCAUGGUGGAAUGUUAGUUAGAAUAUUUUCUGCACUGCACAGGCUGCCUGUCACAGCUCGCCGGGAGGAGACUCACGAGUCCUGCUUGGUGCGGCAUCUGAGGGUGUUGGGACAGAAGUGGUGAUAAAUCCUGUGUCCUCUUAGAAGGCGCUAAUAAUUCAAGAUGAUGUGGCCAAAUGUCACAGGACACAUUUCCUGUUUCCGACAAAGACAGAGCCACUCAAAGACAUGAUAAAUGGCCCUGACGUUCGUCUUUCCUCACAGAAUCUGUAUGAAAUCCUAAAGCACGAUUCUAGUAUCGUGGAGGUGUCACUUCUGCAAGCAUUACUUUGAAAGGAUAUUGACAGCAAUUGUGCUAGCAUAAGCUGCAGCUCUUUUGUAUCUAGUUUUCGGCACCAGAUGGGAGGGGUUUUCCAUGUCAGAAGAAUUCACACCAUGUAGUGCACUUUGUCAGUAAUAACCUAUUCUCAGAUACUCCUCCUGCAACCAUGUGAACUUUUCUACACUGGUUUUGUGGCAAUGUGUGUGUUGCCUGUAAAGCAACCCAUCUGCCACAAAAAUAACGUUGUUUUUUUUUCACAGAAAAAACGUAUCUAUGCACAGUGCAUUGCGCUAUAGUAAUAUAUCUAUAUUAUCUUGCCUUCAACUCAUAGUUGUGAGAAAAAAUGAAGACUGUAUAGGCCAACACAGAUUCCAGUGUAUGUACAUUUGAUUAAAAAUGUUGAUGAAUAAGUUGUAAUCAUGAAGUUUCCUACAGUGGUUCCUAAGUUGUGAACAUGUGUCUUUAAGGCAAACUCAAAUUAUCAUCAAUCAAAUGAUCUGUUAAACCAAGUGUGUGUGCCCCGGGUGUAUGUAAGUGCAACGGAUCAAUAAAUCCACCCCUCACCUCCCCUCAUCCAUAAAAGUGUUUCCAGGACUGUCAAUCCACUUCUUCACUGACAAACCCUCUGACUGAGCCAGAUCUACAUUAGUUGCACUCUAACUGUCUGAAUAGGCUCUAUGCACCUCUACUGUCUCGUGCUUCAGGCAUUAAUGCAUCCUCUUUGAGGAUCUCCAGACAAAAUCAAUAAGGAGAGACAGUGUUGGAAAAAACAGAAUCCAGUUUUCCGUCACUUUGGCAUUUUCUUAUCCCUCCAGCCACUGCCAUCAAAGCCGGGGCCUCUGCACAACAAAGUGAGAGACAGACAAAGUCAUCGUUGUGUACCUGAAGGAUUGAUGCUUUACCUUCAAACUGUCGUUAAAUAGAUCCUGGCAUUAAAUAUACAAAGAAUGUGUUGAAUAAUCAAACUUAAAUGUAGGUUUAUGAGACUGUAUAAGAAAAGGUCGGCCGUGUGUGUGUGUGCCUGUGUGUUUUUGUAUGUAGAGUUUUUAGUAACGGUAAAUUAACAGACUGCAGAUACAUCGGCUGUUUUAAGUUUUAUUUUACUUGAAGUGUAGCAGUUUUUGAUUGACAUUAUUCUGUUAACUGGGCCAAUAAAACGCUCAGACUUAUUGAAAUGAUAAAAUAGGCAUGUGUGUGAUUUCUUUCGGAGGUCGUUUUCUCAUAAUACAAAUUGUACAAUACAUAUAUGUGCGAUAGACAUCUAAUAGAAGGUAAAAAAUGACAGUGACUCAUUUAUUUGCCCAACUAGCAUCUGUCUAAUAGGUACCAGUAGUAUUCUAGUUGUAUGGUGAUUGGUGACGCAGAGCCUCCUCUGUCAAUCUAACCCUUCUCAAGUUGUGGACACAUGAUAUAUGUGGUUGGAUCUCAUACUACACCUCAGAGUCUCUGAAUGUACUUUUUGCUAUUUUAACUAUUCUAACUGCACUGUUUUGACAUUUGGUUUCAUAUUAUGCUUAGAAUGCAUUAUGUUUUGCUUUUUCUGUUGACCUCAGGAAGAGUAGCGACCAGCUAAUGUGGAUUAAUUUAAAGAACAUUUUCAUCACAAAUAUACUAUUUGGUAUGGGUAAAUUACCCUAUUCAGAUUGUAUUGUCUGUAAUAAUUUCAUAUUUUUUUCUUCUUCAGUCAAGCUGCUUCAAUUCAUCAAAUGGUUUACAGUACACGCUGUGUAAAUCAUUUUAUACCAUAUUCCACAAACAUCUAAAAUGUUGGAAUCUGGAUUUAAAAGCAUAGUUCAGUAUAACACCCAGAGUGCACACUACAAUGGGAGUUAUUUUUCUUCUGUAUAAAUUCGCUCAAUGAACUCCUCCUUGCCACCGACCCACUGACAGAAAAAGGUAGACAUUCCCUAGAGGAUUUACAGAGUCAGCACAAUGCUAAACAGCCCCAAACAGCACAUACAGUAAUAUAUAUCGCAAUUAACCAGAGGUGAGUGUGACUUUUGGGGGGACCUGGAGGGCAACAGCAGUGACGUCAGUUUAAAUUGAGAGGACGUGUGCGAUGUGUUGUUGACGGCACUUUAAAGAGGGGCCAGGUGGAACAAUGCUCUUCAAGGACACGCUGUUCGUAAACAGAUGGGCUACGUUUAUGGCUGUUAGACUUCUUUGUUGAGUGAUUAGAAAGCAAGAGGUAAUUGGAAGUCCUGCAAACAGUCUAUUUGUUUUAUUUCUCCAAGUUCUCAAGUAAACCUGAUCGGUUGAAGAAGGUUUUAUCUGUAUUUAGCACCUUGCUACAGGGUGAGAUUUGCAGUUGGCAUUAACACAGCAUAUAUGGAUGUUAUUGAAGAUGGUGAAGCCAGACGUUAGUAGUGUUGUUAUUCUCUCUCCCUUUAUAGAACAAUUCCUUAGGAAAGCAUUACUAUUACUACUCAAAGUGUUUUUUUAAGGUUGUUUCUGGUUUUAUUUUGAAUUUGAAGCUGUUGUGUCCCACGUUGACUUGUUCUCCUGCCUUUGUGAUUGUCUGCCCCACCCAUAAUUGAAUCUUCCUGUUCCUAAUUACCUCACCUUACCAGGGAAUUUAAACCCUGUCUGCCCUGUAUCAUUGUAGGAUUUCUUCUAGUUUUAGAUUAAAUUACAAUAUCCAUAUUUUUGUUUUGCCUCAUUUUCCCUUGGAUUUUUAUUUUCCUUCAGUCUGUAUGUAUAUAUCAUUGACAAUUAUGGUAUAGAAUAUGAUGUGCCAAAGAUAACUGCCAUAUCCGUGAAGCAGCUUAAUGUGGGGAUUGCAUUUGACAAAUGAGAAAACAGUCCUACAGUGUAGUUGUCGAAAAUCUGUAAAGAAAAAUCAUCAAUUUCCUAUAAUGCACUCCAAUGACUUGCAUCCUGAUCAUCCUUUACUUUUUGUCUUGUCAAAACACUGGGCCUUCAGCUCAUCAUCAUCAUCCUUCAAGCUUUUGUACAUUUCCGAGUGCCUCCAAUGUUCAUUAGUGGAGAGCGGAGAAGGAUGGUAGUAAUUUCGAGCCGUUUUUCCCCGUGUCUCAACAACAAAGCAGAGAAUGCAUUUAGUGAAAGACUUGUCCUGGCAAGCUGAGGACUUUCCUCUCUGUUUUGUACGUAGCAAAAAAGGAGGUUGCGUAGACCAUUGUUCUGUUAUAUUUGCCUCCUUUUCCAUUGCCCUCCUACACUGUGCUGUGGUCCAUUAGGCUGUCUGUCUACAGCCAGAAGUGACUUUGACAUUUACUGAAACACCCAGUGGAGUGUUCAGGCUUGAAAGGAUAUCCAUUGGCUUGACCCAAAACCACUUGUUUCUUUUUCCUCUUAUUUUCUUUCCCUUUCCAUUUCAUCGAAAACUCCUGUGUGACAUUGUGCACUGGCAUGUUGCUUCUCAAACCAAAGCCUGUAUAAAUUUAAACAUUCACCAGUGAAAGACAUCCCUUUCUGCUAUUAACCAUUAUCACACACCCAAACACAACAGUACAACCUCAAAGGCACGUUCAUAAAACCCACUAAGCUUAAAAAACACACGGAUACAGAGAACACCAAAAGGGCUCAAAGUAGAACCUCUUCAGUCUUGCAGUUUCAAUUAGAGUUCAAUCAUUUAUGAGUACUGCAAAGAAAAGAUAGUUGCAGGAAAUAAUGUAGUGGUGAAUACUUAUUUAUAACAAGAAAACAAUUUAAAGCACCCAUCAUCCAUAAAAUGAGCAAAUAAUGAUGUGUGAAGUGUGAAAUGUAAUUCUCUGUUUGCCGGAAAAGAGUGGCCGAAAACAACAAGGAGCAGGGGUGCCAUUAUGUCUGUUCCACAAAUAACAAGCGUCCAGAAAGAGUGUCAGAACAAAGACGGUGCCGCACAAAUGUAAAUAUGAAAAGGGAUUCCCUUCAGAACAUCCUUUAUCCUCUAUGAGACAUGCUCAACCAUCUCCACCCAUCCAUUAUAAAUGGAGUCUAGCGUCAACCAUAUGCCUCAUCCCUCUUUCUGUGCAGCCGGCGUGAAAUAUUCACCUACUCUCCACCUUCAGGAGACUCAAGUGAUUAAUUGAAUAAGAUGAGCUGGGGGAUCUCCUCUGCAUUCAGCUCCCAACUUGCAUCGAGAAAGACCCCCAUCCCACCCACCAGUAUAAACAAACACACACACCUUGUUGUGAGAGCUGCUCUUUCCAGAUUAAAACCUUCUGUUGUUCAUGUCAGUUUAAACAUUUUAAUGGUGGUAAACAACCACAUGGUAUCUUAAUAUGUGCCAGAAUAUGUUCAUCACAUGAAGACAAUUAUUUUAUUAAAACCUGAAAAGAACAACAACUGUUGCUUGGUAAAGUGCAUUGAACAAUGGCACUGCACAGUACUUUGAAUUACACUGCAAAUAAACAACAUUUUUGCCAUCCCUAUCUCUACGACUUCUCUUUUUAUGUGCGUCUCAAACGGUCACUCAUCCUCCAUGAAGAAAAUCUGUGAAAUACAGUGAAGCAGAUGUCUGAAUGUCAAAGUACCAGGCAAUGGGUUACAGAAUGAGGGAUGGAGGAGAUGGAGAAAACAGAUACACACAGAGAACCGAAUGUCCCCUCCGGCUUUGUCUCGAAUACAGAUAAACUUCAUAAACUAUAUUCAUACACCUCACGAGUGAAAAAUGCCACCAUGGGGAUGAAAAAUUGAUUUAAUGGGCAAUUUCUUACGUUUGUUUUGAGUGAUUUAAAAUGCACAUUAAAAGCAAAGGAAAACAACAUUUGUUACUGAUAGGUUGUGACUUAAGAAGGAAAUCGUCAAAGGUGGUCUCCACUUUUUUGCAUGUAUGUGGAUCAAAGGAGGCAAUAGAUUGUGCACGUUUUUAUAAUUGGGGCACAGAAAGUUUGCUAGAGGAGAGAGAUCAAUAAAAGUAUGCAGUUUUUCCCCUAGGUUUACAGCUUUUGUGGAAUAUAUCACAUUUUGAGUAGUAAGGCUCCCUUAUUGAUUUCAAACAGUGACCUAUUCAAAAACGAAAACUCACUGGUUUAACAAAGUUAAAAGCAUAGAAGCCCUUUUCCUCAUAACUCAUUAAACUGGUAACUACUGAUAACUAGGAAAGGCAAAGAGUAUGGAAAAACCAUGUUACUAUGCUUUGGACAGAAGUGAAACUAUGAAACAGCCGUCAUUCCCCUGGAAGUUCAUGGAGUGCCGCUGAAGGGCGAGGCAAUACUGCCAAGAUAGGCAGAAAACACAGCGUGUGAACAUCCCAUUCAUUCAUCUAAUGGAACAUUCGGAGGCACCAGUGCAUUACAUGUAAGCGCACAGGUCGAGAUAAUGAGGUAUUUACAUGUCUAUGUAAGUGCAAUCCACUUUAAUUAGGAGAGACUGGACACCUUUGUGCCACAGUUGUGUGAUCAAUGGGCGGUCCGUUUUGUAAAGCAUGUUUAACUUAAUUCUGCCAUUGUUCUCUAUUACAAUUGAGACAUAAUAUCAUGAGAUGGAUGUGACGCCAGAAAUGCACUGAAAACCCUGCUUCCCAUUACAAUAUCUAAUCUUUGUGAAACGGGGUUCUCUGCCAUAACAGCAAACAAAUCAAUAUAACGGAGCGGACAUAAGAAACGCACUUUUGAGUGUGUUGUCUGCCAUUACCCUUAAAUGGGAACGUUUGGUUGUAGAGAACUAGCCCGGCAUUAUGAUGAGUUGUAUUGUUUUGCACUUUAUCUUCGUUUUAAUGCCAGUCAUUUCAUUUUAUUUCCUCAUAUUCAUCCCCGCACCUUGAAGGCCGGUCUGUGAAAUAAUUCUAUUACAUAAAACUGUUAUGAGGCGUAGAAAAGUUUGGGGGCUGCUUGUCUACAGGGUUUAACCCGCUUUCAAAGUAUCAAGUGGACAUUUGAGUAACUUCAGUUUUGACACUUCUACGUAGGCUUCUUUUUGUAGCACCCAAGGUUGCCUUUUGUUUCACAUUUGACAUAGUUGUAUAAUAUACAACUAUAUAUUAUAGUUGUAUAUUAUAUUUUGACAUUACAUUACACAACAGUUUCUUUUAUUGCCGAUUUCUUUUGGUUGGGGUAACAAACAUAGUUCAUGUGAUUCCACUGCUGAAGGUGAUAUGAUUGAUUACACACCACAUGAUUACUAUAUGUGGAGACUUCACCAUGUGGUUAGAACAAAGGGAAUACAUGUUCAACAGCCUGGUGAAAAUCACAACUCACCCCCACAAGACAAAUCACAUGUACGUGCAAUUUAUGGUGCAAACUGAACACUGAGGCAGGUCUCAUUGGACGUGAGCCAUUGUCACCAUGCGGGAUCCUUGGGCUGCGGCCCAUAUGCAAGGGGAUUAUAAAUCAACAUUACUUUCGGCUAUCCACUCAAUUUGGUACGAAACCCUAGGAAUACUUCUGCAUUGGCUGGUCGAACAGAAAACUCCACAAAACUUUAACCUGCAGAAAGGAGAAGCACAUUCUUCAGAGGAAGAGGACAUAUUGUCUUCCCAAAUACUUUAAGUCAACAUUUUCCAGGCGUCAGGAUUAAAAUUCUCUUGACUUCUAAAAAGAUCCUGCUGCCAUAUGCACGAUGUAUUGCGACGCAGCUUAAGCUCUUGACCCCCAAUUAAAGAGAGAAUUAUAAAAAACGACAUCAACUGCUACCAAGACUUCUCAGAGUAGGAGGCUUGGGUCUAGCUCCGUUAGUGCUUUGAAGAAAUUACUGUUGUGUUCCAUGCAGCUGCAUCAGUUAUUUACAACAUUUCUAACCUGGGCUGGGUGCUCCAACAACCGCAUAAGCUGAACCGAGCGCUCUCUGAAAUGGGACGGUCUGGCCUACGGGAGGAUACAUGCAUAGGUUACAAGCCAUUUUAACUGUGUCCUUUUAGAUAUUACAGAAUAUGUCCAAGCUACAGUAGCUGAAUGUCACCACACACAUCGUUCUCCUCUUCAGCUUGAUGCUGCUUUCUCCUUGCUCACUAAAACAAAACAAAAUGUAGUUAUUUUAUAAUGACACCACAAAACAAAAUGUAACGUUGGUUCACACAAACAACAAAAGGAGCAAAGCAAUGAAGUUCAGUUUCUUCCCUGAGCAAGGCACCUAUCCCCUAAUUUGCUGCGGGUGGACGAGCUACCGUCAACCGCACAGCAGCUUCCGGUAAAGUGAGCUGCAUGUUGUGUAUUUGUUAUAAAUGUGUGUUGGUACAUUGAUAUUUGUAAAAGCAGUACAUAAAACCCAAGGGGGGAGGAACAGUCAGGGUCAGGGGCUCAAUGGGGGAGGGGGACAGCAGGACGGAGUUAACGUUUUACCAAAAGCAGUUCGUUCUCACGUCUUGUAUUGAAAAAAAGACAACUAGGGUUGCCACCCGUCCCUUAAAAUACUGAAUCGUCCCGUAUUUGAGAAUAAAAUAACGCGUCCCGGUACUAAAGGUGGCAACCCUUUUACCAACGUCAUGUAAAUUAAGCGACUAUUAACUAAGAUAUUAUAUAUUAGAAUUACGGCAGUCAAUAGAUUAAAAAAAAAAGAAAAAUGAAUUGCACAUGUUGAAAUUCAUGAAUCUCGAUUAAUGGCGAUUAAUUCAUGUUGUUGUUGUUACAAUGUCGUUUUUAUUCAAUGUAUGUUUUUCUAAAUCGUACAAGUAAUGAGUAAGCACUUAAAUGGUCAAUUGUAUACGUGUAUUUUAGACACUGUUGUUAAAUUGUUAAUGCUAUUUUAAAACACAAUGACAACACACAUUUGAUCAUCUUGGAGGCAGAAUUCCACCAGGUGGAACAUGUUGAACUUGCAACUCUUCCAGCUAGCUUAGCAUAGCAGUGCUUUAAGUUGUCCCCGUUUGCCCCUAGGCAUUUAGGUAUUCUGAUUUAUAUUUUUGUUUUGAAUCCUCCUCCUCUCCUGUCCCUGGACUUCCUGUGACCAGACAUGAUUAUACAGUGUGUAUCAAGACACUUUCUAGCGUGGAUGACACCUCAAGUCAAAAAUGCAAAUGAUUCUGCCUGAGAACAUACAAGGCUACAAAAAUACUGAAUAUUGUAAGAAUAAAAAAGCGGGAAGCAGUGGCUCCUCAAAGCAAUAAUUCUGAUGACACUGAACAUUCAACUAAAUCAGAAAGAUUUAACAUAUUUCUUUCAAAAGGGAUUUUGAAGCCAUAGCAGAGACGUUGACUGAUUUCAUGCCUGCUCAUUUCCAACAAUGGUAGGGCAAACCACAGACAAAUACCCGCAUGCAGAGGUACUGGAUUGUAGUAAUUAGAGUCCACCGUUUAAUGAGAUAAACCAAUAAAACCCAUGAAACUAAAAAUAAUUCAGGAAAUGUUUACUAUGUACCAUGGCCACGAGAAAAGUCCCAGCCCUGGUUAAUAAUUGCCCAAGUGCUCAAAUUUAACACCUUCAAACCCAAAACUCAGACUUCAUGGCAGAAUGAUCAAAGCCAGUACACUCUCCAGUGUUUCCUCCGCGUACAGCUUUUCUAAAGGGACUUGUUUUCGACUUUCAUCUUUCAAUUGAGAUUUUCUUCCUUUCUCUGCUUUCAACUGUCUUCUCCUCCGCUCUUGGAUCAAACAAGAAUGAACUUCAUAACACUGUAUGUCAUGCUUCACUCCUUGAAUAAUCAUGUUACUAUGGCAAUGAUAUUGUUCAUGUCUUAUGAUAUGCGAUGCAUGGACAUGUAGGCCUAAUAUAUAUAUAUAUAUAUAAAAUAUCUGCUCGAUUGUGUGUAGUAUAUUUCAGCAAAAUGUCAAUAGCCAUCCUCCUCUCUGCACAGGUUAGACAUAACAAUGAUUUGCCAUCUCCACACAGGCUAAAGUGCUUCUACUUAUAGAAGGGAAUAUAAACUCAACAUUACAAAUGGUCUUCCUAGAUGUUGACUGUUGACGGGAAGGACAUCUUUAACGUUAGGUAUUGGACUUCUUCAAAAAAGGAAAAAAAGAACAUUAGCAUUAUUUACCGCUUGUAAACUACACAGUACACAUAACUUUCCCCAUAUCUCAAUUGUGGGUGGGGUUGCAAUGUGAAAGCGUAAUAGUCUAGGAGGGGCUGAAAAAUCAAUGAGUAAAUAUGAUAACUUCUCCGCCCUUUUUACAAAAAUAAAAUGAGUGCCUAGUGUUUUUCUUUAGAGAUCCAUUUGCAUUGCGUGUGUGUGCUUCAGUUAACUGAAUGCUGUUAUUGUGCAACAGUACAGUGACCUUACAGACAGCAAAACAAACCACCAAAAAGUGUAUUGACUGACAUUUCCAAGUUCGUAAGUGGCAGUUCGAAACUAUUUUAACUUGGGUGUCCCAGGGACAGCAAAGUGAUUGCUAAUGGGAGCCAAUAUGGAUGUGUGUGCAGGUAAUGCAUUAAAAGAAAAUCAGUGCGCUGACAUUUUACUGAUGACACUCAACACAAAUUGAUAACUAGCAUUGGUUUAAACACAAAAAUUGGAUAAUUUUCUGAAAAUAACUCAUCUGAAUUAUCUAUUGCAAACCCUACACCAUAGCAUAUGCUUACAUAAAUAGAACAUUGGCGUUGUUGUUUUUAGAUAUAGAAUAAAAAACAUGAUACACCCAUUCUCAGGUGGACGGGAUAAGAAUCCUGGAUCAUAACAAUUGUGUGAUGUAAUUCUUAAUGUCAACAUUUUAAGGUUAACAUUUAAAACAAAUAAAUGUAGAUCAUUAUUCUUAUGUUACAUAAUAUUGCCCCUCUUAACUUCACUUCGUGGAUCCUGUUUUUUUGACUUCCUGUCUGUGGUCUUUUUUAUUUUGUGUAUCCCUUGUGUUUAAUUAGUCUCGUCAGCCUUUCUCUGUUUUUUCAACUACCAAUCAGCUUUCAGCAUGCCGUCAUGUCUUAACACCUAAUGUCUUGCGGUCUGAUUAGUUUUUUGUGUAUUUAUAGUCCCGUCUUCCCACUGUUGGUUGUCAGUUUGUUUUUCAUUGCUGUUAUAGGGUGUGUUACCUGUUUUGUCUGAUAGCUUUCUGGUUUUUAUACAUGCAUGACAAUUUGCAUAUCAGUAUAUUAUAGAUAAUGCUCUGCCCUUUAACUCAAUCCGUAAAAUAAUUGUAUGGUCAUAGGUCUGCAACAAACCAUUUAAAGAGCAGAUGAGUUCUUUCCCUCAAAGAUGGACUUUGAAUUGAUAAUAAAUAUUGAUUAAAACUAAACUACAGCUAAACUUAAGCUAACCAGUCUCUGACGGAUAAAUUUGAGCAACAAAGCAAAAGAUGGGUUCAACUGGGGUUGAUUUGAAAAGAAAUGAAUACAAUUAUUGUUACUUUAUAUCUGUACGUAUUCAUUUACAUAAACACAUUUGAUUACAAAUUAAUUCUGAAGGCGGUAAGAGAAUACUCUGGAAUCUCACUUUUGGAGGCCUGUUGAGCUCCUUUGCCUCAUAUAAACCCUGAAUAAUUAUAGGUGUACAGUAUAUGUGCACAAACUGUACAUUUCAGAGGGAUUCCUGCCGGUCUCUUCUGUCAUCCUACUUCUAUUCACUCAUUUCCCCUCAUUCAUCUUCUCCCUAGAUUUAGAGACCCUCCAAGCAGACAGAAAAGUCAUUAUCACCAGCCUUUCUUCAUCUUAACUAUGAUGCUUAGGAAAGAAUCAGCAUUAAUCAGUGAGAGAGUCAGUGUGGGGGAACGGGAAGCAACAAUAAGAUAAGGUUUAAGAAUACACAAAAGAAGCCACCAAGUGGACUUUAAAUCACUCUUAUCUCCACAAGAUGAAAGAUUUGUUUUCCCUCAGCCAGUAAACGCAAUUAUGUAUUUGAGAAUACUUUCGGAAGAUCCUUCAACAAAAAAUCUUCUUCAUCUCUAAUUAUGCCUAAUACAAACAGAUAAGAGCUAUGCCCAAGCAGUCUGGUAUUCUGUUACCUCCGUGGCAAGUGCACACACCAUUCAUAUUCUGAAUCAUCUUAUUUACCAACUUAAUUACAAUGACUAUGCUAGAAUGUAUUUUGGUAACGCUGGUAUAGGGAUAUAGGUAACAACAAAGAUGGUCUGAAAAUGUAGAAUUGUAAAAGAAAGAGCAUCAAAACAUAUUUGCAGAGAUUUUUAAGUAUGUGCAAAACAGAUGACCAACAAAAAGCAGGUAAUGUUAUUAAUAUGCUGCAGUCUACUAUAUCUUGGUAAACUGAAUUCAUUACACAGGAACUGGAUCCUCUUUGCAGAUUGAAAUGGCCCUGCACUGCCACGCUCACACAAAUACAUGCCAGCAUUUACGCAAGCAACAUAUAUAAAUCUAAAAACAAGCCUCAUUCAUCUGCAUUGAUUGUCCGCACAGAUAAACAGCUGAACGGGCAACACGCUCUAUGCAACUCACACUGUAUGAGAGGUUCAUUGGGAAUACAGAUGGCUCUGUCUUCUCUGCAUGCUGUCUCUAGUAUAUCACAUAUACCUGGCACCAGUGGUCCUGGAGGACAUCACUUCCCACACAUGCCCAAAACUGCAGGUAGAAUAAGGACGGUCAACAAUAUGAAGACAAAUUCAAAAGGGAUUAGAGCUAGAUCUAGCGAGCCAGAUCUAGACGUCAAACCAAUCUGUCUAAAGUAUCCUACUGUAAGGGAUCCAAUAAUAUGAUGUGACAGGCGCAGGCGUGUUUUUGUUUAUGGAAGAAUGCACAAAGCAAAUUCAAUAUUUAUUCUGGAUCAAUUAUGUACGAUGUAUUCCUGUUAAAUGGAUAUGACAACAAACUUAACUUGACUGUGAUCAAUUGAAUGGUAUUUAUUUAAGAUUAGAUAGAUAGAUAAAUACAUGCAUAAUAUAUAUGCCUAUGAAUUAAAUACAAUUUAAAUAUGAAUAUUCAUGUAUUUAUUUGAGUGUUUAUUUUAUGGUGCUACAUUUAUUCAUUUCAGGGGGCUUUUAUACCAUAAGGCAGUGGUUCCCAAACUGGGGGUUGAGGCUUCAUCACCAACCCUAAAAGAAAUAGGGUAAAAAAAUAAAAUAAAAAGUGGAGUUGCGGUGUCCCUAUAUCCUAUAUAUUUACCAGCUCUAUAGGUCACAAAUAUUUCAAGAGGGACGAGCGCACGUAAUUAGGAGAGAAUCCGUAAAUUUUUUAAAUAAAAUAAAAUGACAAGAAAUCAAAGUUAUGUAUUUUUUCUGUGGUGUGGCCCGGUACCAAAUGGCCGGCGGACUAGUACCGGUCUGCGGACUGCUGGUUAGGGACUUCUGUUCUAUAAUAAACAUAUAAUGGACAGAUCUGGUGGCAUUGUUAGGGAUUGAUUAUACAGAGAUGGACGGUCUGUUUACAGGUGUGCAUUUUGUUUGUAGUUAUAUGAUAUGACCAGUAUACCUAUUGCUUACUGUUUGUUUGCAGAAUGGUGAUACGAAAAAGUAUAGUGUGACGGCCCUCUGGCGUUGAGCAGGGCCUGCUGCGUGUGUGUGUUUGUCCCUUUGUCCUGUCUUGGAGGUCCAUGGUAGGCGGAGCUCGUCAGAGCAACUGGGGGCACCUGGCCAGUCUUCUAGUUGUAUUUAAGACCUUUGUUUUCUUGGUUUUGCGGGAGCCUCUUGGCUUUGUGUUGUUGGUUGUGGAACAACAAAUGAAUUAAAAUUAAACGUGCCAUCUACAACCCUGUGCUUCUUCCAUUUUUGUCAUGGUCCCAGUUUGAGCAAUUUUCUAUAAUCGUAAGUGGUUACCUAGAAUUAUUUACAUGACACUUAAUGAACGCUGCAUUUGACAGGACUGGCUUUCCAGAUACUGUUCCAGUCCAAUGUUAUACAAUGUUAAGUAUGUAGGUGAGGUUUGUUGUAUUUUUUCAAAUCGUGUGAUGUUAAAUGUGUCUGUGCAGUAUGUGUGCUUUGGAAUAAAGAAGAUAAUAUCUAUGAAAAGAUUGCAUUGUUCAUGAUCUUUUCUGCAUAGGAAGUAGUGCCAUUGUUUUCAGUUUGUUGGUAACCAUCGCUAAGGUAACUGCAGUAGGCAAGAGUUCUAUUCUUAUCCCCAGAGAGUGAGGAUGGGAAUAUCUCAGGAUAGCAUCAUAUGGUCAACUGGGCAAAUUCUGCCUACAUGAGUUAAUUGAGUGUGAAAACACACAAAUAAGAGUUGGAUCCUUCACUUCAGCAGGGGAGGAAAGAGCAGCUGGAAGGUAUGAUUAUAAACGGAACUUCCACUGUGACAGGUGGGAUUAGCAAGCAUCUGUGUGGUAUAACACUGCACCCCAUCGUGUGCAAAGUCUUAUCUAGAUCUACACUGCUAUAAUGUGCCAGCUUAAGAGACAGUGUCAGCAUCUGUUCUGUCAUGAAAUUAUGCUGGGUUUCACAACAAGUCAUCCUUUACAGAUAGCUAGGACACAAGAGAUGUCACAAGUAAGAAGUGCACAGAUUUUAUCGCUGGGAAAAGGCCUGACCAAGUUUCUGUCUUUUCUCCUCUGUUUGUAACCAAGGAAUAUAUUCCAACGUAGGCUUUGGUUUCUGAAAUCUGCCACUGUUAGAUUUACCCUGGUGUGAAUAGUUAUUUUUUUUAUUUUGCUCCUUUGUGCCAUGCAUGGGCCUCUCUUAUGACUGAACUUGCAUAUAUGACAGCCAAGCUUCUGUUAUUCCAUUAUUCCUGUUUUUUUUCUUUUGUGUCAACCUGUCAACAAGUGAAGUUGAGAAGAAUAAGAGGUCCAGUGGGGUCUGUCUAUGUAUCUUCUUCCAGAUUGUCUACUUCCUCCAUUUGGGCGUGCCACAGGGAUUUUGUUUCCGCCAUGCUAUGGAGAGAGAUAAUAUUUAUAUAUAUUUAUUCAUAUUACAUUUUUUUAAGUAAAGUUCCUAUUGCGGAGAGUCAGACCACAGAAACGUGUGUAAUGUUUAGCCCCACACUGGACUUCACCAACGCACUCUUGAAACCCCCCUUUUCAGCUGAUAGUCGCAAUUUCUCUCAAGAUGGUCUCUUUCAAGACAGCACCUCUCACACAUAAUGGCCAUACCAUCAUUGCUCUAAGAGUUUCCUCAAUGAGUUGAGAUAAGUGUAGCCACAAUUUAUUGAGGAAACUCAAGCGUAGGCAGUGCAUCGCUCACCAAGUCUUACUCCAACGUUCCCAGUGGCCUGGUGGGACGUUUGGUGCUGCAAACUACGAUGUCUAUGAAAAUAACGCUUUAUUCUCAUGCAUGGACUUCAGACGGACGACGUUCUCUGUUUGGGAAGUGGUGUUUGUUGUCUAGCUAGUGUACCUUGGUUUGGUUUGUUGACUACAUAACCGAUAUGAAAUUGAACGUCGACGGACAUUCGACCGUGUGGUCGACGUGGCGCAGGGGUAGAGAGGGUGCCUGAGCAAGACACCUAACCCCUAAAUGCUCCCUGGGCAAAAUGUAAAAAGCCACGGGUUAAAAAUGCAACAUGAGUUGCUUUGGAUAAAAGUGUCAGCAAAAUGACCUUUAAUGUAAUGAACGUUUGUGUUAUAUAUCAAGAUUUGAGUAUAAAGAAAGCAUGCACGCUUAAAUAAACCCAUUAGUGACAGCUCUUCAGAGGAGUAUACCUAUACUAAUAGUAUAUGUGGUUAGCUAGAUAAACAGAACUAGGAUUGUCUAGUAAUUGCUGUCAGUAUAUCAAAUAUCAGUUGGGAAAUUAAAUUCAUUUUAGGUUUUAGUUCUAUUUAGGCAUUGAUUGACAAAAAUCUUAGUAUGAUUAAUUAUUUUUCAAAGCUGUUAAAUCCACUGCAUACUUUAAAUAAUUAGUUUGGCUUUUGAAAUUGAAUUGUUCAACAGUUUAUUUAGUUUUAUUUAUUACCCAAUGUUAAAAAACACAUCCUCAGUUUGGUGGUAUUAAUAAAAAGCACAACUAUGCUGAAUGGUGCCUAGUGGUAUGACCUUGGAGCAUCUUUUAAGCGGUGUGACGUUUUACAUUUAUUCUCUGUCAGGAUUUUCCCUGGAAUUGUACCAGUUGCCCUCUCGUCACUUGAGUUUUGACCCAAACUUAAGAACCCCCCCCCCCUCACACAUUAAUCAGUACAAUGUGUGUUAUCAAGGCAUGCUGCAAGGAGCAUCCACUUUGCGAGCAUUGAUUCGAAUGGCCAUCCCUUGCUGUAGAUAUGCUCCUGAGAGGAAACUGUUGUGGCAGAAGGGAUUGACCUACCCACCCUGCUGUGAUGGCACCAUGUGAGAGAGGUCGUCAGCAUGAAGGGUAGUGAGCAUUGGUUUAAAGACUCAACCCGGGUUUUGGAAACAUGAAUAAUUCCAGAUGAGAGGACUCUGCCUUUUGAGGGUCAGAGACAGGGGAAUCCAGGAGCUAUGGACACAGCUUUAGUCCAGGGAGACAGCCACGGACAUACCCUACCCUCCCCGACUGCGUGUCUCUACCGCCCGCAGACAUUGAUCCACGUUCUCUUCUCUGAGGCUUACAUUUAUUAAACAGCAUGUGGCCAUUUCCCUGAGUCCUCCAAACCAUGUAAGUGUGUAUUCAAGCAGCAAUAGGAGUUGCCACAAAAAGAAGACUGUUAACUGGGGAAAUGCAAAUGAAAACUGACACGACACAUUCAAAUCUUUUUCCCCUCCAUCCCUGAAACCUCACAUGAACAGGUCAGAUUUAAUAUGUCUGUGUGUGUUUAUAUGUAUAUAAGUAUUAAGAAAACGUCAAAACUAGUUAAGUGGGUUGACACAUGUUAUGUUGAACUCUUUAAUCCCAAGCAGGAGUUAGUCUGUCUUUGACACUUGCAUGGUUGUGUUUCAAACUAAAUACCUCUUCUUUACAGAGUGUAGUGGACAGUAUAAACACAUAUUAAAACGUAAGGAGUGUGAGAUGCGGGAUCGGAGAUCCCGACAGGAGCAAAUAGGACAUUAACGGUACACCUGAUUUUCAGGAGUGGAUUUUAUAUAGAAAAUGAAUAUACAAGUCCAACAGUAACAGAUUAGUUUGCUUUCUUUCAUAGAAGGGAGAUACAAAUUAAACAUAUUGCUCGGUUCUGAAGUUCUAUUUCUCCAAAGAUAUAUUUGUAAAUUGGAAAGGUUCAUAAACGGCUUUGCCUAAAUAAAAAAAAUCUACUGCUUUGUCGCAUUUUUUUAAGCCAUUACUUUUUUUAUACAUUGAUAACUUCAAUCCCUUUCAAUUGAGGAUUUUUAAUCUGGAUUCUUUUGCCCUUCUUGGCCUUAUCUUCUGUGGAAAUGAAUGGUUUUAAAUGAGCACCAUUUAACCAUUUGAAAAAUGAAAACCACAGUUAAAUUUUUUUUUCAAAAGAUUAACCGUUUUAUAAUUUUGAGUUUGCCUGUAAUCAUUAAUUCCCUGGUCACAUUGCUCUCUCAUUUCAUCCUAUCAUUUCUUGCUGUAUCUCAUUAAAAUAGUCUUUCUAGUGGCUCAUUGGCAUUUUUCUACUUUAUACUGACUCAGCAGAAUUUCCAUUUAUUCUUACCCUUUUGUCUGCCCACAUUAGAAUAAUGUAAUCUAGUUUCAUACUAUUCCUCCUGUCAGGCCGUGACAUUGGUUUCUCGUUAGAUUCUUAUGGCUCUGCCCUCGCUUUGUCUCGGACCAUAAACUUAGUUGCUUAACAACAGAGAAAUGUUAAUGUCACUACACUUAUAACGUGUCAUUAUUCCAGUUUCAAAUGACACGAUUGGUUAACAAUUUUUUAAUUUUUUCCACAGGAGAUGCGGAACAUUGCAAAUGCCUGAGUGAGUUAGAAGACUGCUUGUGUGGUGUGGCAUUAAUACAAAUACGUGUUUUACCCCUCAGAUUCUGCCCUCUCUAAAAGCUGUAGACGAGGCUGAACUUGACAUGGUGCAUAGCAUAAAUAAAGUUUCUCAUUUCAGACACGAUCAAUAUGUUAAUCAAAUUGGUCCACUUCCUGUUUGUGUCCCCCAAGAUGAGGAACCUCUUUGGUUACUCACCUUCUCAUUGAAAAUCCCACCCACCGCCUUUAACUGCAUCUGACAUAUUGAGUACCUUGAAUGUUGAUAGUUUGGCUCCAGUGGCAAUUUAAAGUGUUGACAGGCAGACACAAUCCACAAGCAGAUCCCUGGAAUCGGAUGUUACAGUUGGCACUCCCCAGAGUGUCCCAAUCAAUAAAGCAACGGGGGAGGACUUUUUGCUCUCUGAGCAAAUCAGAGAGUGUCGGUGUGAGAGGGGCAGGGGGGGGGGUUAAAGAACAAAACGACAAAAGAAUUCUUUCCGGAUGUCACCACUGGAGAGGAUUGGGCCUUCAGGGAAUAUUGUAUAGCUUAUUGCUGAACUUACCAGAAAGAGAAGGAAACGCUGAUCCAUUUACACUUGAAAUGUAAGUGUCAUUUGUAAUGUAAGUGUCUAACAGAACCCCCUGUAACCAUGGUGGUGACCUUGUUGCUCGCUGAGCAAAUUUGCCUUUUCCCAAAUAAUUCCAAAUCUUUUGUUUUUAUUUGGAAAUAAGACAACACACAACACAGUUAAUAUAUGAAUGAUAUGAAUUAUUCAAUAUUAACCAUUCAUCCUCUCAAUGUUUUGACAGUUGACGUAUUUCUUUUAGUUACUAUAUCUAUCUUUGCUAAAAAUGGAUUUCCCUUGUGUCCAACAGUGCAACACUUGUCUCUUCGCAAGACAAAAUACAUACAUCAGUUUUCAUUUGUAUGUUACUGUAGUCCUGGGAAUGUUUUUGCCUGGUAUUUACUGUUAUUGAACAUCGCCCUUGGAAUGUACCACUUCCUGUCCCCAUUGUUGUGCCCAAAAGGAAGCCUCGGAUCCACUUGAACUGUCCCUGUCGCCCUCUGCUCUCGCAGCCCGCCCACAGAACAACCGGAACCAGUUCAAUAGAAAAUGACAGGACAUAAACAAGAUAUUCACCCUGCCUGUAGGAUAAUUGUAUAUUGAUUGUAAAUAAUUGAAUGGCUUUGUAGUAGAUUAUAAUAAAAAGUGUGCUGCACCAUAUUUUAUCGGCCUGGAUCGGCCUCAGCAGAAGGAUGAGCUUUGCAGUGUUGAAGGUAGAACAAAUACCAUAGAAAGUGCCCAUAAUCUUUAACGUUACGAUUUUAAAUGUCAACACAUUUACAAAACUAAUUGUAACAAUGAUUAUAUAUGGUGAAGUUAACGGAACCCUAAAUAUUAUGUUGUAUGAACAUAAAAAAAUCUUCUUCUACUCUGUGAUAAUAGAUUUUUAAAGCAGGUAACCAUAAAGCAAAUAUAAAUGAGUAUUUUAGUUCUACGGAAAACUUUUAAUAAAUUGCGUGAGACUAUUUAUGUAGGGAAAUAAAAAAAAGGUGCUUUGUCAGAAGUGAAGUAGCAUCAACAGGAACUUGAUGCAGCUCUGACACUUGCCCUGAUGAGAUGACACUAUGUUUGCAUUUAGGUUACUACAAUAGGUUGAUAACCCCUUUUUUCUAGUCAUCCAGAUGGUACAAAACUGGAAGAGAGUUGAAUUGGUAAAUAUCAACUGGGAAUAUGUUGUUCAUCUAAGAAGGCUGCUUAUUAUUCAGUUCCACGGUUUCGGCCGACAUCAAACGUCAAUCUGUCUCGACCACAUGCAACAAGGAGGUUAGAUGUCAGAUGUUUGCCACGGCAGAAAACGCACCGCUGUUUUGUCCCUAUCUUGUCCCUGCAUGGUUAACUUCAGCUUUGACUGAAUACGAUGCAAAUUGUAGUCUGCCUGACUCCAUGCAAGAGGGGAUUGGGAAAUUCAGAAAGAAAACAGCUCACGUUAAAAGCGUCACCACAAAUGUCUCUUGAAUCAGUCGAAUGACACGAUAGCCUUACAUCAUGCCACCCGUACCCUCUCUUCACAGCGACUAUCACUCCACAUCUCACAUCCCUUGGUGGGAUAUCAUCUGUAUUUUUCAUAUGCAUGAAAUUUGUGGCUACAUCAGGCGCUAUUAUUAUGAGAGAGAGACGUGUCUGUGUGUUUGACAAGCUUGCUUAUGAACGCAGCAGUGUGUGUUUACAUUUGUCCUGUGGUGUUUGUGCAUAUAUCUGGGUGACUGUCUGUGUGGAUCAUAAAUGUGAGCUGCCAAGUGUAUGUGUGUUCGGGUGGGUUUGUGUGGCACAGCCGCGGGUAGAAGAGCACGAAAUUCAUCAGCAUGUGUCAGCAGUGGGUGUUUUAAGGCACGAGGCUGCUUGAUUGAGGAAGUUUUGUCUUAGAUCUCGACUCUGUUGGAGGGAUCAGAGUCAGUCCAAUCGGUGCAGAAACAAAGAGCAAGUUGCUGCGAGAAAGCUAACUGUCCAGCUUUUGAGUGUGGAAACAUCAAAAGAAGAGACAGAGAAGCGUGAGGGAAUGCAAGCGCUAUGGAGGCAUGUGGAGAAGGAGUGCAUUGGCAUACAGAGGCAGCGGGCGACUCACGCUGGCUGGUGUCCUUGAUGUGAUUUCUCUUUGACUGUAAUUAAAUGUACAGGGACAUAAAUAGAACCCCCACAAGAUCCAUCUUCUCACACAAGUAUCAGAUAUGAUGACACAGUGUCGUGUGUGCUGCGAGCAUGCAGCUAAUGUGCCCUUUAUGAGUUGUGUGAUUUUACAGUCAAUUAAAAAAUAAAGCUCUGUCUUUGUUGAUCUGAUAUCCGUCUCCUUCAAACCCACUCUGAGAUGAUUUGUCAAUCAAAUGAUGUCUUAGUUCUGCAAGGAAUUUGCUUCCUUUUUUAACAUGGUUGAAUUGUAGACAAUAUGUUUAUGCCAUUUACCUAAUGUAAUAAGGUGAGACUAAUGUUCAGUGGGAUGAUCUCAGUUGGUGGAUUACAUGUGUAUGUAGGCCACAAAUAAUCUGUUCCAGUAGAAUAGCAACUCCCCCGAUGAAUCCCAUCUUCAAGGAGACAGACGAGUCUCCAGAAGAGGAUAAAUGUAAACUCCCUUUAAAUCCAAGGUACGAUAAUGAAAUUAUAAAUACUAGGCGGAAUAAGAUAUUCAUUACAUACAAUUAUUACUCAUUUUUUAGGAUUUUCUUCUUUACUGUUCUCUAAAAAACGUCUUUCGUAUCUGUCAGUAAAACCAUGGUGGUUUUAUACCAAUGCAACAAUUUUUCGAAUGUUCACAUUCAUGGUGGCCUGACUGCUAACUUAAAGUUUCAUUCAGAAUCAUCCGUUUUAUUUGUAUGGAAUAGCUGGGGGUGAUACAAAAUAAUCUUUUUGUCAGAGGCAAACUUGCUUUAUAAUUAGGGAUGUAUUGUGAGAAUGUAUUCGGCAAAAGAAAAAAAACAAUCCAGGUUUUCUUCCUCAAUAUCUAUUUAACAAUUUCUCCCACUACCUCUAGAAUAUUGCAAGGAUGAACUCCUGAUGCAAUGAGCGUUUACCAAAUCAAACGUUUGAUCUGUACUUUGAUGUCAAGUGCCAGCCUUUCUUUCACUGUUCAAAAAAGGAGGCAAUUUUCUCUGCAAAGUAUCACUUCUUUCUAUUAAAGCUUUUUUUCUAUAAUAUUAUUGUGUAAGUACUUAAAAUAACUCAUAUCCAGCAGCUCUGCUUACAAAUAUGUGCAAGGGCAUUUGCCAAUCUCCUUUCUUUCUUUCUACAACACACAGCAUGCCUACACUCUUAUUGUCGGCUGCCAUCUCUCUCACAUGCCUUCCCAACGCAUGAAUAAUAUGUACAAUAUCCAAAUGAAAAUUCAUAUGUAUUUUUACUAAUAUAAAAAUUUAUUAAAUAAAAGAGUUUUAGAAGGGCCAGAUAUGGCUAAAAAAAGAAUGUACAAAUGGAAGAGUUCCAAAGACGUUGCUCAAUGUAUGGCAUAGUGAUGGUUUCUUCUCGUUCGAUCAAAUGGUCAUGGUUGUACGGUUUUGUUAAAAUGGUCUUUUCUGUAGGUUAAUUCCAUCAUUUUUUCUAAGCAACGCUGCUUUCCUGCUGUUGAUAUAAGAUCAACCUCCAACACAUCUUGAACGGAUAUUCAGUGGUGUUUAUAAUGUGAAUUCCUGGAUAUUACAUGUGUCUGCCAUUGUCUGUACUGGGCCAAUGUAUUACUUUUUGUUCCCCACACAUGGUUACGUCCCAACAUGACAUUGUAUUAUUGUGGAACAGCUCAAUGGGAUAACAAAAGAACGCAUUUUUCAGUAAACUGUCUAAAGAACCAAACAAUCAUAACCCUCUUUAAUACAAUAUGAUAGAUUACAUUUCGGUGCUUGUUUUCAGUUUCCUGUGUGUCUUCCCUGACAUUGAAUGUUCCUGCCGUUGGCCCAAUGAAGCCUCCUGCACAUUUGGGAAAUUUCUUUUUUUUAAGAGUAGCUUAAAAUGAAACCUAAAUAUCCUCACAUGUUACCAGUGUUGGGAGUAACACGUUACAAAGUAACGCAUUACUGUAAUUCCACUACUUUUAGCGGUAACAAGCAUGUAACGAAGAAUUUUUAAAAAUAAAUUAACGCAGUUACAAUUACUGAAAUUGAAAUUAGUUCGUUACUCGCGUUACUCUCUUUUGUGACGCGAAGCGGAGGGCCGGCAAAUAGUAAGUAAAUAGCUGCCUGUCAGCACCAAACGUUGUGUGUCACAGAAUAGUCGCCGUACGUGCAUGCAAACAGCAUCGCGUCGCUCAUGACGAAAGACCGCAGCCCCGCGGAUGCAGCAUGUUGUGACUUUAUGCUACAUGUAUAAUCACUGUUAUAGUCGUAUACUAUACAUGGGUUAUCUAAAUCGAUACAAAUGCACGGAGACGAGGAUGCAGUACAAGUUAGGUAAUUUACUGGCGCUCAAAUCACACAACCGGCAGGCAUGAACAAACAAUCACAGAACUCCGUCGUAGUGACAGUCAAACACUGAGUGCUCGAUCCAAUAUAUCACACUGCAGGCGCCGCUCCACGCAAACAACCACGGCUCCACUUUACACGGACUGCAGUGCAGCCGAUAAACCGGGCAGAGCUGAAUAGGUUGAUUGCUCGGUAUGUUGAAGAUGAGAUGCAUCCUGUCAACUGUCGAGUCAGUUGCCUUCAGGCAAAUGCCUGAAACUGUUAUUUUGUAUUAAGUAUUAAAAAGGACUUUUGUACUAUUGCUUUAUUUGAAGGCCUGUUUCCCUGUUGAUUACAAUAAAUAGGGCUAAAAAAUAUGUUUAUUGUCUUUGACUGUUCAGUACUAUUUAUAUUCAUUACAUUUAAAAAGCAGACAUAAAAGUAACUUAAAAGUUACUUUCCAGAACUAAUUACUUGUGAUUCACAGUAACUGGUAAGUAAUUCAAUUACCUUUAAAAGAAAUAACUAGUAACUGUAACUAAAUACUCAUUUUCAGUAACUUGCCCAACACUGCAUGUUACUAAGAUAAACAUAUUGUAUUACAUUAAGAAUAGGUGACAAAUCGUAAUCCUCUCUAUGUAAAUCCUCACAAACCUUUUUAACUUUGUAAGUUUAAUUUUAAAGAUCGUGAUGGUUGUUAAUUUUUAAAUACUUAAUUCACCUAAAUGCCUUUAUCUACGCUCUAAAACAAAAGAAAAAUCUGUAUUUUUGUAAUUAAUUUAAAUUCAUUUUUUAAACCGUAAAUGGACUGUACUUGUAUAGCGCUUUUCUAGUCUUCCAACCACUCAAAGCGCUUUAACACAGCAUGAUAUCACAUUGUACACUGUAGUCGCAGCUACAGGAGAAAUGUUGGGUUAAGUGUCUUGCCCAAAGACACAUCGACAUGCGGGUUAGCCGGGCCUGGGAUUGAAUUGACAACCCUCUGAUUGGAGGACGACGUUGCUCCCCACUCACCCACAAUCGCCCGUAGGAUUAAAAUUUAGGUUGUAUUGUCAGAAUGUAUUCAGCCAAAAAGGUAAAGCUAUCUAGAGACUUGACUAAAGGUUAGUAACAUGUGUGCUUGUACUUUGUAUGUUCCUUUUUAUUGUAUUGUGAUAAAUGCUGCUUUGAUAUGCAUUUUUUUGAUAUGUGGGUGUGACCAUGUUAAGCCUGAAUGGGAUCAGCAAAAGGAUCAGAAAUAAAAGGUUAGUUUUCUGCAAAAUGAAAAGCAUAUAAAAACAAGUGAUUAAUAAACAUAGAUAGGUUAUUUCCAUCAAUUAGAACGUAACCACUGCUAAAGAGGCAAUCAUGCUUUACUGCAAAACCACAAUUAUCCACAAGUGUCUCACCAGUGACUGUGUCUGAGUACCGAUCACCUGUUAUGUGAUUUUCAGCGUGAAGGGUACUUGGGUCAAACGCUGCUCAUUCCCAAUGCUCUGCUCACUAAGAGCCUCAUUUGACUGCACCCUUGGCUGCCUAAACAGGUGGCGACAACGAGAGCCAAACCAACCAUGUAACCCUCUACUGGGACUCCUGCCAUGCUUCGGGAGCACAUGGAGGAUAUGCUGUACUACAAUGCUAUGUAUUUGUCGAAGCGUCAGAGAAGCAGUCUUAUAACCAUUUCAACUGUAUUUGUUUUUUAUUAAGUUGAGAAUCCACUCUCACAAGCUCAAGUGUAAAAGAAAAUGUAAUCACAUUGUUUCCUGCCUGCUUCAAGGGCUUCCCGUCUCUGCCAAAUAUAUUUAUAGAUUGGUGUGCUUGUUGUGUAACCAAAAUGUGUCAGGAUGUCGGCUUUGGUUUAGUUUGUAUUCCGUUUUGUUGUAUUGUAUUGUGUCCUGUGUUGUUUGAUAUCUCAUCCUUCCCUCAUUCUAUUUCUAACGGCCAUGGGACAGCCCUUCAGCCCUUUUGCUACAGAGUAUGACGUCCCAUGACAACGUCAUCAAAUAUGAUGUGAAAUUGAUGGUGUUUAAUUCAUACUUUUUACUCUCGGAUGGUAAUUUUAAACGCUUUUGUCAAAACCGCUUCAAUUGUUUAUGAAAUAUUUGAUGAGUAAAUAUUACUUUUUUUCUUCCGUCUUUAAUCAUUGAUGUUUAAAUUUUAAAAAGACACGCUGAACACGUAUGUACGUCUUCCUUGUUUACGUCUCCAUGCAUUCAGUUUAUCCAGCUUUUAAGGUCACAUUGUAAUGAACGUGUCAGGGAUGGGUGGAGGAGGCAGGACUCAAAUGCAGACUUCUUAGAAAGCAAAAGACUUUAAUAGUCAAAAGGCAAAAGCAAAAGGCCAAGGGGCAAAAACACACAGGAACCAGGGGAAAAACAGCAGGCAGGAACGACGAACAUCCACGACGAUAGACAAUGACGCAACAAGUGACUGUUAGGGAUUUAAGCCAGAAGUGCACCCCUAGUCAGGAAAUUAUAGUACGUGUAAUAAUGUUUAGUGUUAGAAUUAUAGUUUGUGUGAUGUUAGAUAUUAGGUAUUACAUUAACAUAUUAGAUGAAGUGAAUGCAAUUUCAAUCAAACACAAUGUAUAGUCAUGUUAAUCAUAUAAACACUGUACACCUUAACAUUCUGUCAUAAUGUGAUGUUAAAACCUGGGGACGGAUGCUAAUUGCCGUCCUUUAUGGAUUUCUCCCAAUUUUAUCCCCAAAGAGGGGUUUUUGGGAGUUUUUUCUCCUGUCAGGUAAUAAAUGAACAACUUAAUGUCAGGCAGCCGACUGAGGCAAAUGUCUUGAGAAUUGGACCACAUGAACUGUCUUAGAUCUUAUGAUGAAGUGUGAUGAACGGUGAUCAUUAAUGAUGGGUUGUUGUAAUGAAGGUGUACUAGCUAAAAGAUGAAGACUUAAACGAUGUAUGCUUUGUUAAAUUCACUCAUUGAGGCAUAAAGCCAACUGCAUCUACAUUAUGUGCAUUGGAAUGUGAGGGACAGACAGUACAGGGAGGUUUCAGGUUACAGCUGCAGCUUCACACCUCGACGUGAAGGGGACAGUCCAGGAGGUGAUCCUUUGAAGAAGAAGCCAAUAACAUUCAAAUGCACCCAAGAAGACACACCUCAAGAGUUUUCAAAGGACCAAACCGGGGAAAAGACUGUUAGAAUUCUCCUGCAGCCGCUUUGAUAAGUCGCUUUAGACUUGCUCAGAGGAUUCUCUAUUUCGCGAAAUAUUUUACUGUUCGCUUAGUAUUUCACUUUGUAAUUGCAUUCCUUAUAACGUUGUUUAGUUAUUAAAUACUUUUUGAUUUUUGAAUUUAAACGAAUUGACUCAUUCGUGUCCUCGUUUCCGGCCGGGACGAGAACAAAGGAGUGAGGCCUCCCUCGAGAGCUUUCCGAAACCCUAACAUGACACAAGAGACACACGGCUUAAAUACACAAGGGAGGUGCAGGUGAUUGGAAACAGGUGGAAACUAUUAGACGAUCACAGGGGAUGACAGGACAAGGCAGGAAGUGAAGUUACCCGGGGACACGAGAGGCAGAAAACUACAAAAUAAGACAGGAAGUGAACCACACCGUGACAGAACGUCACGAUCAGUUUGCCACAAUACUGUGGUGACAGCAACCCAGUCUGUGCACAUGACCACUAACAUUGUGUUCCGUCACCCAAGCACAGAUCAUGGAAGAGCUUCACAGAUCCAAUCGUUAUUGCAUUGCAUAUUAAAUUCAACAGAAUGCAAGAUAUAGUAUUUCCUUCGCCCUUGUAGUGAUGUCUGCCAAUCCACAAAAGAUAACCCAACCUUUCAAACCUUGUUUGUAAAGCCCACUGAUCGCUUCAUAUUAACCAUUUUCCCCUCCAACACGACUGAUAUGGACGACAACAUUCACUCCAAGCCGCUGUAAUUAGCAAUUUCCUCAGCAUAGAAAGACAGAGUGUUUGUGUAGUCUUGUGAAAUCUUUGAUAAAAAGCUCUAUAUAAUAUUUCAGAUUAUCAGAUUGAUAUGAAUGUUUGUUAACAAUAGCUUAUGCAACAUUUGUGAUCUUCCUACACUUAAAUGCUUCGUAAAUAAUACAUGACCUAAUGUAUUUGAGCCUGUGUAAAACACAUCUGUUUUGGGUGCUGGAUGUAAAUGCAAACAAUAUAUCUCUUUGCACAUGUCUGUGUGCUUAAUGUUAGAUUCAACGGUCUUUGCAGGAAAUAAAUUAUUUUCUGUUUUUUUUCUUAGUUUGACCUUUAUUUGUGGGUGUGGGUUUAUUUGAUCAUAAGCUGUUUUUAUUCACACACAUACUUGUGUACAAGUAUUGUGCAACCCUGCUCAUUUUGGAUACUACAGGUUUAAUAAUUGUGAUGAUAGCACUGUUAAGGCAGGGCCCUUACCACCGUGGUUCAGUUUUGAGUCUGGAUUAGGGUCCUUUUGCUCAUCCUCUCUUUCAUCAUCAAAUAAAAGAGAAAUAACUCUUCAUUCAUUACAUUUUCUCAAAAGAGUAGUUUUGUUACACAAUAAAGUCCAUAUGUGUAUGUGUGGUUAUGUUCAUUAGUUCAUGUUUUAGAAAGGUGCAAAAUGUAAAGGAUUACAAGACCACCAAACCAGUAAAAACAAUCGGAAAUAGGCAGGGGCUGUUUUGGCCUUGGAGUAAAUUACUUCAAAAAAGGUCACCGGUUGACAAUUUUCCACAAAAAAAAACAAAAAACAGCCUGACACCAUGAAAACUAGAACUGAUUUUACCAGUCUGGAUAUAAAGGAGAAGCAGAGCUUUGAACGUAAGCUUGGGUGUCUUUGUUCUAAUGCUGCUUGAUUAAACACAAAUGUUUGCAGGACUUGUGAAAGAAAAUGUCUUUUGAAGCUGAUGGCAAGCUCUCUGUGUGUGUGCUGUCAUUUUGUCAUGAAGCACGGGCACAGUGAUAAAUGCAUAACUUAUGCUAUUACUUGCACUUGCUUUUUAAAACUGCAAUGCAAAAAUAUCCACCUGUACAAGUCUUUUGUUACCUGUUGCAGUUUCACGUCAAAGAGUGAUUCAUCUGAUUUAAAUUGAUUUUGGAAUUUAUUCACUUUUAAAUCUUAAAUCAAGAUGGAUUAUGGAUGAUCAGUUAGUAUAAAUAAAAAUUGGGUGGGGCAACAUUUACUUAAUUUCAAGACUGCUCAUGAACGGUUUAACUAACUUAAAUUUCAGCAUAUGACGUUUUUGAUCUCACCAGCAGUGAAUCUUAUUUAAUCACAUUUACAGCAUAUUGAUUGACACUUUUGUCACUCAAAUGGUUAAUAUAUGUGGAGUAAUUCCUAUGCAUGGUUCUCUGCUGUAUGUUGCACCCCUGUUUGUUUUACUUGCAAUGCAAAAAGCUCUCUUCAUCUUGAUGUAACUGAUUGCAGCUAGCGGCCGUGUCGUUUCCACGGUCAAUUUACGGUUUACCUUCGCCCCCGGAAGUAAAGAAACGACCGUUAACUACGUUAAAAUAUUUUCUUGCAUUAAUCUAAUCUUAAUCGCAUAGAUCAAUGAGUUAAUGUUGACAGCCCCAUUAUAAUCAUUUAUAUAAAUCUAGAAAACAGACUGGCAAAAAAGCUAAACUUGUGUUGAAAGGCGAGUUUCAUUCCAGUAAACACGUUGGCUUGUGUACAAGUAAAGUAUGUGCCCUUACUGUGCUGUAAAGGAAGGUGUUUAGUAUUGAGCCGGCCACAUCAGAAAACACAACAAUAAUCUAAUCAAUGAGGAAAACUAUUGGUUUUAGGGACUAGAAAAUUGGUCUGUCUUUUGCAAACGUCAUCCCCAACUCAAAACAGCGACUUAACUUCCAACUGAGGAGUCAAAUAGGGAGUCAGCCAUGUGUAAGAGGGUGUUAAGCCGGGGGCUGUGUUUACAAGUGUACUUUGUAUAUGUGGCACGGGCAACCAAGUAGAGCAGUGGUCCAACUUUUGCCUAUAAUCACAAGACCAAAAGCAGAUAAAAGACCAACUCAAUUCCACAACAGCACUUUUCCCAAGCCAAACGACAGCUUCUAGAACACUCUUAAGCCUCUUACACUGCUGGAUUCCUUCCCUUACCUAUCAAAGUUUUUUAAAAGUUUUCUUUCCCUAACCCUUCAACCUCUCCUUCAUUCCACCGUUUCAUAGCUGAGCCAGUGUCGACAGCAAGGGCGGACAUCAAUGCAGUAAGCCGAGCAUAAUUGAGAUAGAGAUUUAAGAGGAGGAAUUGCUUAAAAUCAAUCAGUAGGUAAAGGAGAGGGGCUCCUGGGAAUGCCCAAACAUACUUGUAAAUUAGAAAUAACAUUAAAAAAAAGACAAGCAAGCACCACUGCUUAGAGGAUAGGUAAUUGCUAGUGAUAAGGAAGUUUCUCUAUGCUUGUAAUCAUUUCAGGGAACAAUACACAGCUCACACUUGAAAGUAUCACAGUCACAUAUCGCAACAAGCAAACCGAUAUGUAAGAAAAAUUACUUAUCUGCACGUGUCAGUAUUCAUUUCAUAUCAAAAAGGUUUUACACGGUUAGUGAAGCUCAUUGAAGAACAAUAACAGUUAACAAUUUUUCCCAAAUGUGACCCCAACCCCACAAUAGCCAUUGAUAUAUUGUGAUAUUUUGGUUUUAGCUCGCUUAUGUUAGCGAACGUUGGCUUUAUGCAGCCGAGGGUUCUACAGGGAUAUGCAGAUGUGUGUAAUUUUCCUUACAAUGAAGGAAUCUCUGCCUGGGGAAUGGGGUUCCUGGGCUUUGUUUGUUUUCUUGACAUUUGGACACACUGAUCUCAACUGAUCAGUUGUAGACACAAUGUCUUGAACAGAUCAUUUUUGUUGAUCUACUCUUUUAAACAACUGAGCCAGAUUUUUUUCUUGGUUCUGAGAUUUCGGGACAUUAUAAAAUAAGAAAGAUCUGACAGUGAGAUGUAAAUUAAAUUAUUUUAAUAAAAUGGAAUUUCAGGCCAGAGUGAUAUCACCAUGAUACAAACAUGAUAAUGCUGAUGCUUACCUGGGGGGGUAGUUGCUGAGCACAGCAGGAAAAACGAUGCUUGGGAAUUGUAUCGAGAGGGAAAAGCGCCUUUCAUUAGGAGAGAAUCCGGCCAUUUUUCAACUUCAAAUAGUUGUCUUUUUUUUUUCUUUCACCGCGGUCCGCUACCAAGUGGUCCACAGACCGGUGGUUGGGGACACCUGGUGAAGGCUUUGAGUCUCUGACGAUAAGAAGCAUAAGUUCAACUGCAUUUCAUAAAGCACUCUCACACUCUCUCUCUCUCUCUCACAUACGGACAGACUCAUACCUCUCUUCAGAAACAUCAGUACAAUCAAACACAUUUAUUAAAAUUCACAAAAUCCAACAAACUAAGACUUACAACAGAAAACACAGGGACCGAUUUAGCAGGCAGAGACUUAACCCUCUUAAGAGCACUUAGUAUCGUCAGCACUCAAUGGGCCGCAUCGAGAGCCUUCUGUAGUGCAGAGACAUGGUAGACGGAGACUAAAUGGGAUCGAUCCUUCUCAUGUUGCACAUGUUGAACUGUCGAUCAAUAAUGUGUACACUGGUUUUCUAGUUUAUCAGUUAGAUCUAGCAAAAGCAAACUCUCAUUCAAGGGUCUUUCAAUGACCAUACCUUCAUAAGGGUUCAUUUUUGUAACACUGGUUUUUGACCAUUGGAGGACGUUGUAUGUGUUGCUAUCUGUAUGGAUGGGGUUGACAAAAUAAUUGAUGCACCAGAAAUUAUUUAUGAUGAUUAUUUUAGCAGUAACAACCCAGUGGACUAAAAGACACUAAUACCUUUUAUUCCUAAGAUACCCGUUAUCCAGAGCUCAUAGCCUCUAUGACUAACUCUAAAAAAACAAAUAAUCUCAAAUGCAGAGGAAUUCUACACACUGAAUAGCAACCUUUUCUAGCUUCAGUCAAUUCCAUCAUUCAUUUGAUGCCCCAUGUUCAGUUCUCUCUGGGGAAAAAUGUAAUGUUGCUGGAUAAAACCCAUUUUAUACAGCGACUAUGUGGUCCCCAAACUGUAAAUAAUCCCCUCUCCCUUUUCGUCACAGUCAGUCUCCCCUAACUGCUGUAUUUAGUUCAAAUGAUUGACAUUAUAAUAGGCUCAGCUAAAUUAUAAUAGAGGUCAAAUUAGAAUUUAAUCAUCUUCCUUUUACCCCCACUCCCCUGAGGGCAAAAUGAAUAAACAUGAUUUUGGACGAGACUGAUGGGCUGCUUAUGCAGAAACUGUGAUAACUCGCUCUUUUUUUUUUCUUUUGUUAUAGCUUCAAAGAAAGAAUGAUCAAGAAAGGCAGAGAUAUGGAGAUGACGUUAGUAUGAGAGGGAUAAUGCAGUCGUUCAGCACAUUUGGUCUACAUCAAUACCGGAUGUGAAAUUAUGUCACGAUUUCCAAUGAAUUCAAAACAAUUUUGUCAGAAUACUAAGGCCUCGAAUCGUGAACAAACUACAAAUUCCUAGUCUAAAUUCACCGAGUGGGAAUUAAUAAGACACAGCGGGGUUCUCAGUGUUUAGGUUUAGGCUUUGCUGUGACCUGAGAACUACCAAAAACUUCUAUUCUAAUUCAAGUGGCUCUGCAACAUUCAGAUUCAUACGAAUUUGGUCUGAAAUUUGUGGGACACUAAAUUGUUGACCUUAACAUGUAUACAAAAUUAAAGAAAACAAUCCAUUUACAGGCUUUUUAGUUUUCAAAUGCAUCUCAGUCUUUAUCAGCAGAUUUACUUUUGCUAGACUUCACAACUUUAUCAUAAAGAUAAGUAUAUGUUAUGUGUCUCCUUUAGAAUUUAACACAUCAAUGUUUUGGGAAAUGAAGAGUGGCAAAAUUGUCUUAUUCUUAAAUUCUGUAGAUUGAGCCAACUUCUAAGCCAAAAGUCUAUUGAUUAAAAAGUAUGAAAUGAAUUAAUUAACUUGGUUCCAGUCCACUGACGUCUUAAAAGUUGUUGCGAUCAUGAGCAGAGCACCAAUGUACUCUUAUGUAAUAAACUUUAAAUGUGUUCUUCUAGCCUUAGCCAGAAAACAUAUUUUCUUAGGUAUCUUAGAUUUAUUUAAUUUGCGUAUAAGAAGCAAUAAGGCAUUAUCACUCACAUAAUACUUGCUGAAGGAAGUUUUUUAAACCCUCUUUAAUUCAUCUUUACCAAUAUCGCUUGUUCUAUGUAAAAUUGCCCUACUUCAUGGUUACUAUAUGAUGUUUUUUUCACCUGCUUUGUGUAGUGUACAUUUUAUUGUGCUUUUGAAGAAAAAAUGUAUUCCGCAAUGUUUUAUGCAUGUUGCUUGAGGUUAGAAAUAGAACACUGAUGUAUAUGAUAAUAUUGAACACACGCAGCAGCCUACCAUCUAUACAGUUGUGUGAAGGUACGUUUAAUGUUCAAAAUCCAUGCAAGGCAAAGACCAAACAAUAAUGCUGGAUUUGACAAAGGAUUAUGGAGAAGAGGACAUGCUUGUUUUGUUGCCGAGACUUUUCUACAACGAUGAGUAUUUGUCUGCAGUGUCGUCUGAUCCACUUAGAGGUAGGAAACAAAUGCUGGCAAUAUAUUUAAUGCCCCCUGAGAUCAUGUUGCAGCAGGCCCGAGGCGCCCAAUCGUUCACAAGGGCUCACAGGCGGCACAGGAAAAUAAAUAAAUAAUCCAAUAUCAAAAAGGAGUGCAGCAUUAAGCUUUACUGGGCAAUAACACAAUUGGCGUGUCAUGGUUGGGGGGCUGCUCCCUACAGAGAGAAUACCUCUACAGCUGUAAGUGUGUGUUGGGGAAGGGAGAACACCAGAAGCCAAGGAAAAAGGCAGAUAUAAUUUUUACGGCCAUUGAACUCCCUAUCUGGCCUUGCUGGGUGCACAAAAGGCCACUGAGACGAUUAUGUUUGGGCUCCACCUCAGACCUUGGACUUUGGAUGGUGAAAAAAUAAUAUCCAAGAACAGGAGCCCAUAGGCAAGGCUUUGCAACACCUUAUUUAAAGUCAUUAAGAUUGAAUAAUGCUGCAUUUAGAUCACUGAAUACUGCAAUACUGGUUUUCAUAACUGACAAAGUGAAGUAUAAAACAACACUAUAGCUGUCCUUAAACCCUGCAAGGACAUGAACCAGAGAAACUGUUUGGCACAAAAGAAACGUGUAUACCUCUGUAUGUUUGUAUCUAUGUCUACCUGCAAAAAAAUUCACUCAUUAGAGCACGAAUGCAGGAGCAGUGCAAUGCAAUAAUCAUUAAGCCAAUCAGGAAGCCUCCAGAUGGUUUUUUGAUCAAAAAUAGAACCAUUCAGAGCCGCUGUAAGGUCCACUAGUGUGAACCAACCGGCUGCUUGCAUGACCAAAGAGCAGAAAAAGAAGCUUGACCGCAGUGGAGAUAGGCCUAUUUAUAGAUGAAGAACGAAGGUCCCUGUGAGGGGGGUGAGAUGCAUGUACUGGUAAAAUGUAUUAUAACAUUGUUUUGCGUUAAAGCCGUGUCUCAAGUGUCAACUCGGGGGGAUUGGAGAUCCUGACAAUGUAAUGUAACUGACUUCUGAAAAUAAACUCUCAGAACGUCACUGUAGAGCAGGGGUGUCAUUUUCAAGCAUGCGCUGCCUGGAGUGACGCCGUGAUCAACCCCAUACAUUUUUUCGGCUAACACUUUCUGUCAAGUCGGCAUUCUUUUAAUUGGUGGUUGAAGGCAUCUGAUUGGCCAUAUAUCUCAGAACUGAAUAAAUCCUGUUGGAGUACAAUUGUAGGCAGCAAUAAAUAUCGUCAUUCUACACAUUUAGGCCUGACAGUUGCUAGGUGAUAUAUCUGUACUUAGAUAAAACCUGAAUAAAUGCUUAACGGCUUGAUGUAAGUAAUACAUGUAAGUUCCAUUGAUCAAGUGGAUCAAAACAUUAACAACCUAGUCCCAAGAUGAAAAGCUUCAGAAUGUCCCUGAAUUGGACAUUUUUGGAUGUCAAUUACCUAAAGGCUACAGGAGGUUUUACUUAAGUUCAAGAUGUGUGAAUAUUUUUAAAGCAUCAUACAUAAAAUCGUGAUGUUUAGACAUUUAUCUUGUCCUGUUCCUUAAGUUAUGUCCUUUAGUGAAGGACUGCUUCACUUGUGGUAUGUGAAGGAGAGAAACCAGAGGUCCUUCCUUCCUGCUGCCCUCACAAUGAAACAAUCAACACUGUAUCAAUGAAACUGUUCAAUAACAAUAUUUACUUUUCGCAAUUAUGUAAAUUCUGCAUUCUGCACCAUUUCCUUCCUUUCCUUUUUUCCAACAGUUGUCCCACAAGAGGACAUCCAUUCAUCAAGUAUCUGCUUCUCCUAUUUGUUGCCAUGCAUCUGUAGAAAUGUCUUGUAGCUUUAAAUAAGGCAACACACAUGUAACACAUGACAUUAUUUCACGUGCUUCAAUUUGAAGCACUGCAAGCUUACAUCUGUACUGCAUUUUGAUCCUGCAAUUUUAUUAAGGAAUCCAAUGUAAAUAAAAUAAUGAUCUAAACAUGUUAAGAUAAAAUGAAGGCUGUAUAUUGAAAGAGGAGGGAUUGUUUACAAUCAAAGCACAAGGUAAAUAAUACAUUACAUUUUUAUAUUUAACCUGGUUUCAUCUAAGAAAUAAAAUAACUAGUGCCUGAAGGUCAUUACUUUGAUGGGCUUUUAAUCUAACCGCAUGUUCUAACGGUAUGUUCAAAGUAAAGAUGGCUUAAAAACCUAGGAUAAUGUUGCUUUUUACCUAAUAGGGGAAAGCCUGCGUACAGUUCUAUUACAUCCUCAUGGCUAAAUAUACAUAAUGUUUCAGUCGCUAGAAUUGUGGCAGCAGCUCAUAUGCUCCUGUAAAUGCUGCAUCUGCACGGGUGGUUGGCCAGCCUGUAUUGGUGAUAAAAUCAACAAAAACAAAUGCUUUGUAUACAAUGAUUCCACCUCACUUGAGUGAGAACGUACCUGUGUUGUAGAUGAUGUGUGGGACAAACAUAUCAACCUCCCUUCGCUACAGGCAAUGUUCUCUGUUCCACUUCAGGGCACUGAUAUAGGAAAUGUUGGCAUGUUGAACAAGAGUUCCCAAUUCCAAACUCUGAAAAGCUAUUAGUGUGUUUAGAAGAUGGUUAGUGGCCGGUAAAGCCCCAUCCAUGAAACGCCUGGUAUUGUAAUUGAUUGCAUCACCCAAGCCUGAAGUCAUGCAGAGACAACCUCCUGCUGUGGUCUGCUUACAUUCGACAGGGACUGGUGCAGUAAUUCGGGCUGUUUUAUCUCUUGGACAUGUCAGACUACUUUUCAGGGUCUGCUUUCGCUAGGAUACCAAAGACUUACGUCUGUUUGUGUUUGGGUUUAUUGUAUCAAGUGUAGGGUGCAACGUUUUCAUUGGCCGGAGGAAUUGUUGUGAUUGGAGAGAAUUACCCGCAUGGGGGUAGGGGGAAGAUUUAUUUUAUCUGUUUAGGUCGGACAAACUUCAGACUAAAUAAUACUGGUCUACUCAGCCACAUGACUGACAUUUUUUCA
ensembl:lncRNA